GAAUGGCGAAUUCGCAUCUUCUACAAAGCUGUACCGCUAUUUUAUUAAAAAAAAUACUUCCACUUACCAAAUACACCCUUUUCGCCCUCAUAUAUUCGUGUCCUAUCUUCUCUGCUACAACGUGCAACACUGAAGCCAGUUCCUGUGCUCGUCAGUCUGAAGCCUUUGUUCUAGAACAACAAAUGCAAAGCUUCGAGGAAGGCGAGAAGAAACCUGUUGCUGUGGGGCCUUGGGGUGGUCAGGAUGGAUUUCGGUGGGAUGACGGAGUAUACUCCACGGUUAGGCAAUUGGUGAUAACUCAUGGGGCAGGUAUAGACUCCAUCCAGAUUGAGUAUGAUAAAAAAGGGACUUCAAUGUGGUCAGAGAAGCACGGUGGAAAUGGAGGCAACAGAAUUGACAAGGUCAAGCUUGAUUACCCAGAUGAGUUUCUCACUUCAAUCCAUGGACACUAUGGUAGCACAAAUGAAUGGGGGCGGCCUGUAUUUGUUCGUUCUCUUACUUUACAAAGCAAUAAAAGAACAUAUGGACCAUUUGGUGUUGAACAAGGAACGUACUUUUCUUUCCCUAUGACCGGAGGCAAGAUUGUUGGGUUCCAUGGCAAGAGCGGCCUGUUUCUUGAUGCAAUUGGUAUUUAUUUAAAGCCUGUGCAGCAACAGAAAAGCUUCAAAU
rnacentral:misc_RNA from 1 species